CCUACGGGCGGCAGCAGUAGGGAAUAUUGCUCAAUGGGGGAAACCCUGAAGCAGCAACGCCGCGUGGAGGAUGAAGGUUUUCGGAUUGUAAACUCCUUUUGUUAGAGAAGAUAAUGACGGUAUCUAACGAAUAAGCACCGGCUAACUCCGUGCCAGCAGCCGCGGUAAUACGGAGGGUGCGAGCGUUACUCGGAAGCACUGGGCGUAAAGAGCGCGUAGGCGGGAUAGCAAGUCAGAUGUUAAAUCCUAGGGCUUAACCAUAGAACUGCAUUUGAAACUGUUAUUCUAGAGUAUGGGAGAGGUAGGUGGAAUUCUUGGUGUAGGGGUAAAAUCCGUAGAGAUCAAGAGGAAUACUCAUUGCGAAGGCGACCUGCUAGAACAUAACUGACGCUGAUGCGCGAAAGCGUGGGGAGCAAACAGGAUUAGAUACCCCUGUAGUC
rnacentral:rRNA from 1 species